GCAGGAUUGGGUCGGUGUCUGAGAAGCAUUGAUUUUACCUGAAGAUCACAGCAACUGUGACCAACAUCAGAGCAGAUUCUUCUGGUUCCUCCAUCCUGAAGGUUAGAAGUUGAGCCGACUGCAGGAUUGAAGCAGAUCUACACCAGAGGUUGCAGCGUCUCCCUGUCUGAAGCUGCUGAUAGAGGAGGACAACGCUGACUGAGUGUGAGGACAUCGACUGUAAUCAGCAUGGCAACGUCAUCACCAGAACCCAAUGAAAAAUGCUCAAUGGGUCUUUUGAACAUAAAUGGUCUUAGAAGCAAAAUGAUUAAGAUUGAAGACAUAAUUAAUGAACAUAAGCUCCAUGUUCUGGCUCUGUGUGAAACUAAGUUAGACUCCUCAGUUGAAGACAUUAAAGUUAACAUACCAGGUUUCAGGAUGUGGAGGAAGGACAGGACCCAUAAGGGAGGUGGUGUUGCUCUGUAUGUUCAGGAUCAUAUUGAAACUACAUUAAGGUCUGACCUGAUGGAGACUGAAGCUGAGAUCAUUUGGGUUGAGAUGAAGCUUCCU